UCGGUAACACCCGAAGCCUGUAGUCUAACCGCAAGGAGGACGCAGUCGAAGGUGGGAUUGAUGACUGGGGUGAAGUCGUAACAAGGUAAC
rnacentral:rRNA from 1 species